rnacentral:rRNA from 1 species
UUCCUACGGGGCGCAGCAGUGAGGAAUAUUGGUCAAUGGCCGCAGGGCUGAACCAGCCAAGUCGCGUGAGGGAUGACGGUCCUAUGGAUUGUAAACCUCUUUUGUCAGGGAGCAAAGGGCGCCACGUGUGGCGUUUUGCGAGUACCUGAAGAAAAAGCAUCGGCUAACUCCGUGCCAGCAGCCGCGGUAAUACGGAGGAUGCGAGCGUUAUCCGGAUUUAUUGGGUUUAAAGGGUGCGUAGGCGGACAGUCAAGUCAGCGGUAAAAAUGCGGUGCUCAACGCCGUACAGCCGUUGAAAC